rnacentral:lncRNA from 1 species
CUUCACCAAUAGGAGAGAUGUGAGUGAAGAUCACCAGAGGGAGGGUAUCCUUUGCCCUUGACUGACUCGGGGGUUUUUCCUUGGCCUUCAGUUCACUGGUUGAUGCCUGAUCUAGGUGUGCUGACUCUCUCAGGUGUUAGACAAGGGGUCCCCAGCUCCAGCAUGAGACUGGCCUGUGAGGGAGUAACAUAUAGAUGUGACAGGUUGUGUACAUAUAGAUGUGACAGGUUGGUUGGUUAACAGUGUGUUGGCUGCUCUCCAGCAGUCCUGUGAUGCCGGAGAAGGUGGUGAGCCUUGCCAUGUGGGGCACAUGCCUGAGAAGGCAGAUGGAAGCCCCAGGAUAGGAAGACAGGAUGUACACAGCAGGGCAGAGGUGGCCAGGGCACUGGGUGAGGCCUGGAGACCUUCUUCCAGCCCCCACAGCAGCCUACCUGAGCACUGCCCUAAGACUCUGCACCCAAUUGCCCUGCAGGGAUGGUGUGCACGGGUACGCAAAUCACCCAGGACCCCAGUUCUUAGGUGCACACAAGAUGAAGAAAAUGAACACGAGGGCUUGCUGACCCAGAGCCAGGCACUGUGGCCUGCUAUAAUGGACUUUGGAGCUGGACACAUUGAAUUUAAGUCCCAGCUCCGACAUUUAGUAGUGCAUUUGGGGUGCAUUUCCUGACCUGUCAACCUCGUUUUCUGCAUUACCUGCAUUCUGCGUGCACAUCCGGUGGGCGGUGCGACAGGCAGUCAGCCAGGUGGCCUCCUUUCCCCCUUAUCUUUGGUCAUGACCCUUUCCUUUUAAAUGGCUCCCUUUUCCUCUCUCUGGUGUCUGCUGGAGGAGCACAGUGCCAUCAGAAAAGGAUCUGGUGUCUGUCAUCUCCACCUGGCUGAUACUUAUUUGCAGUUAUAUUGACCUUCUGGGGUUCAUUUGCAUUAGAAAGUUUCUGUAUGGUGAGGGGCAGCUCCACUGAAGUCUCCCAGUCCCCCUGUGAGAGACCCUGUCAAGUUUGGAGGCCGAUUCCUGGGGCAACAUUGCAACUUGAGUCUUGCCACGAACUUAUGCUCCCUGGACAGAGCCUGCCCUGCCCAAGGUUUCUUUCCCACCCCUGUGCCACUCGAUCUUAAUUGAGGACUUCCUCUCCUUCCUCCUUUCUUCCAGACAGGAAGGAAUCACAGUCAAGGGAAGGACUGGCAUGGGUACCUGGAAACAAAUGUGGCUCUUAGCAUCUUAUCAUAACAAUAUUUAUUUUUUUCUCCUAUUAUUCCUUCAUAUUUUUUCUGGAGGUUUUAGUUCUCCCUGACCCUGGGUGAAAACUAGGACUAGCCUCAAAAUUUUCAAUCUUAGAUUAAACAGAAAGCUAUGAUUACCUUUAAGUCACAAAACAGCCUCAAUUCAUGAAGUGAAAUGUCCAGUCUCAAGUAAAGAUAAAAUUUCAGAACUGAAUUAGGUUCAGGCUUCCUCUUCUUCCAUCUGGGCUCUGCCACAGAUGGAAAUCUGCUGCCAGAGAUGCAACACAGGCAGUCCUUGUUAACUAGCGAGAGGGGUAAAGGCACAAAAUAGUACCACUUAUUCAAGUACUCCCAUGUCAUUCAGUGUGGCCAAGACACGAUGGUGGGCAGAAAGAACAAGGAUAGAGUGGGGAUUAGGUUGGGACAGGGCACAGGACCCAAUCAUGCAGAGAUUUGCAGGCCAUGCUCUUCCCCAAGAGAUGAGCCUGUGAUACUCUCUUUAUACCUUCCCCACCAGAGAGUGAACCCCUUGGCCAUUGCAGCCAGCUGUGUGCCUGCUGUUGGGGCAGUGAGCUCUAGGGUUUGCUGAACAGAAGAACGACUCUACCAGGAAACUCAUGUCUCACCUUCCUUGGGUUUUGUUUUGUUUUUCCAUUUUCUAGUAGUGAGGUGUCGGGAGGUGGUCAUGAUUUCUUAGCUAAGUCUUCUUAUCAGAAGUGCUUAGGAGCUGCUUUAGAGGAGGAACACUGACCCUCACUGCUCAGUGAGAAGUCACUGGUGCCACUCACAGACUGCCCCAAGGAAGUUCAUCUUGAUGCAGAGGAUUUCCCCCAAAGCAAAGGUUACCAAGAGCUGCAAUGCACACUUCCUCCCAGCCUCCUGAAAUGGUCCUGUUCCUCUGUCCAUUUAUUCUCUCUAGGGGUUAGGAAUUAAUCUGAGCUCCAGAGCAGACAAAACAAGCACUCUUUUACAAUGACAGGGGACGACUUGGUAGGAUUGAUGUGAGGGAGGAAUCCUGUGGACAGGAAAUACGGGUGCUGCACACAUAAAUACCAUGGUUGCCUGGAGAAAAACACUGAACACAAUUAUUUGAGCCAAAUACCUGCUUGACUCACCAUCUUUUGUUGAGACAAAGAUCGACAACCUGGUUAUUCAGACUCCCUUAUUUGGCAGACAUCUUCUCAAAAAUGAGGUAAGGCUGUCACUUCAAGGAAAACAACUGACAGAACCUGUUGCCAAUGACAAAAAAAUUAAUCUUUCUGUCACAGGCCAAUGGAUUUUAAUAUAACACUACAAAAAGUUCACAAUAUAUGGGGCUGGGGCUGGGGCU